UUGGCAGGUCUGGAGAAUGAAGUCCUUUGUUUCCCUGCAGAACAACUACAGCAUGGGCAGUGGCAGUGCAUUCUUCCUCACGUCACCUGGCUGAUGCUUCUCAGUUAUUUUCUUCUGGGGCAAGAGGGGAGUUCAGUCUCCACAGAUUGUGGGGUCUUUGGCCUCU
ensembl:misc_RNA